rnacentral:rRNA from 1 species
CGUAGGUGAACCUGCGGAGGGAUCAUUACCGAGUUUACAACUCCCAAACCCAAUGUGAACGUUACCAAACUGUUGCCUCGGCGGGAUCUCUGCCCCGGGUGCGUCGCAGCCCCGGACCAAGGCGCCCGCCGGAGGACCAACCAAAACUCUUAUUGUAUACCCCCUCGCGGGUUUUUUACUAUCUGAGCCAUCUCGGCGCCCCUCGUGGGCGUUUCGAAAAUGAAUCAAAACUUUCAACAACGGAUCUCUUGGUUCUGGCAUCGAUGAAGAACGCAGCGAAAUGCGAUAAGUAAUGUGAAUUGCAGAAUUCAGUGAAUCAUCGAAUCUUUGAACGCACAUUGCGCCCGCCAGUAUUCUGGCGGGCAUGCCUGUCCGAGCGUCAUUUCAACCCUCGAACCCCUCCGGGGGGUCGGCGUUGGGGAUCGGCCCUUUACGGGGCCGGCCCCGAAAUACAGUGGCGGUCUCGCCGCAGCCUCUCCUGCGCAGUAGUUUGCACACUCGCAUCGGGAGCGCGGCGCGUCCACAGCCGUUAAACACCCCAAACUUCUGAAAUGUUGACCUCGGAUCAGGUAGGAAUACCCGCUGAACUUAAGCAUAUCAAUAAGCGGAGG